rnacentral:sRNA from 1 species
AUGGUGGCCAGUUUUGGUUGUUGUGGUGGCCAUGGUUUAUGUAUUGGUGGUCGAAUUGGGUUUUUUAGCCUUCUAGUGGUGUUGCCAUUUGCUUUUGUUGGUUUUUGUCAGGUGUGUUGCAAGAAUAAUAUAAAAAUGAGUUAUAUAGAUUAUUAUAAUAUGAUGUUAUGAAAAAUAAAGAACAAGUUGUAGGGUUUGUUGUAAAAAUAGUUAUGUAAAGUAAAUAAAGUGAGUUUUAAUGAUGCAAAAUGCAUUUUUUUUUUAAAUAUAAAUGAAGCUAAUGUGAAUGCUCUAAUAAUAUAAAUAGCUUCUUCUAAGUAAAUAAAUAAAUAAAUAUAUAUAUAUAUAUAUAUUGUGGGGUACAGAAAUUCAGUAAGGUAAUCAUGUUACAUGUCAUACCUAAGGCCAAGAAGGUCAAUACAGUUUUGAGAAGUCCAUACACUCAAAUGGUAAGGCUGAAGAGGCAAGCCAUGGCCAUGUCAAGGGCACAUUACAAGAGGGAGCCCACACUAUAGAUGAAGAGUUUCAGAAAAGGGGUUAGCCCUGACAUGAUUAGAGGGAUGGUAGCUGUUACCACAUUUAAUGCACCUCACUAAACACCAUGGCCACAUUUAUGUAGAGAAAACCCUUGAACAGUGUUGUCUCGGUUACCGCAACUCAUAGAAGACUUGUGAGGGCGUCUGAUGGGAUAAGCACUCGAGUAAUGGCCUGCAUAAUCAACAUAUGGAAGGCCAAGAUCAACCAAAGGAGGUCAUAUAAUGUGAGAGAUCCACCAGAGAAACAGGGGUUUUUCAUCAAAAAAGCUAAAAAACAUUGUAAUAUAGGGAACUGAAAUUGUAAUCAAGUUUAAGAGGAAUAUACUCAAAGACUACUCUCCUUGGACUCUACCGAGGAAAGAUUCCUUCGCAUAAAGCUUGUUUUCCUUUGUUUUGUUUUAAUCUUAAAAUUCAUUAUGGGCAUUGUCUAGCUCAUCGAAAGCUAGUUUUCAGCCCACUCUCUAAAAUUUCAUUGUGUUGGGCUAUUUGAGCCUGAAUCCUUUUACUUUUUGAGCUUAGGAACCAAAACUUGCCCUUACAUAUAUAUAUAUAUAUAGUUGCUUUACAAAACCUAAAGGAUAAAUGGGAUUUAAGAACAUCUAUAAUUUUUUUUUCCUUUUUAAUUUGAAAAAAAAAUUAAGGGUGAUCAUUUUAUGAAAGGCCUUCUUGACUUAUAAUUUUAUUUUAUUUAUCAAUAUCAUUUAGCUACAAAAUUCUUGACCAAAAUUAAUAAUUUAAGUAAAAGGCUAAAAGCUUAACAAUUUUCCCCAAAAAAAAAAAAAAAAUCCUCACAAGACGGGGUUUGGGAAAAUGUAAUUUUUUGCUUUUUGUCUCAUUCUUUUUUGCAAAUGAUUUAUUUUUUAGUUUUUUUUUUUGGAAAAUUAUAUAAUUGUUAGCUUUUUGUCACAUUUAAUAUAAAAGUUACUAAAAUGAUAUAUAUUUUUUGUAAUAAAAACUAUAAAAAUAAGCUAAGGAUACCAAAUCUACACUAAUAAAAAGUGUCUGUUUGACUUAAGUUUAUUUGAUUAGUUUUUAGUUUUUUGCUCUUAUGUACAGUUUUUUUUUUUAAACCUUGCUUUUUCUUACAUUAUUGAAGUACAAAUAUACUAUAACACACUUUUAACCAAAAAAUUUCAAUAAAAAAUUUAAUAAGUUAUUCUCAAACAAACAGCGAGUAUUAAUAGUAAGACUUAAAAAGGAUACUAUCAAAAAAGGAAAAAAUUAGCCUAAAAAGGAGAAUUUUCUUUUGAUCAUAUGUUAUCCAUAACUGUGGUCUUAAGAAGAAAACCAAACAGAAACGUGUGGCAACAAAAUUAAUGCUAACAUAAAAAGAACCACUUGAGGUUAAAAAACAUUAGGGGAGUUAAAACUUCACUCUAUAUAUAAUCUUUUUCAUGGUUGCCCAACUUCUUUCUUCUUCCUUUAUGUCAAUAAUUGCCAGAGAGGAAGAAGAAGAAACAGCAGAAAUCCAAAAGGGCAUCGCUUCCAGGAAAGCGAAAGAGAGUGUGUGUUUACAUAUUAACACACAAUCUCACAGGUUUACUUCUUUUCCUUGAAUAAAUAUAUAAAUAUAUAUAUAUAUAUAUAUAUAUAUUAAAAUAAAUUAUAUUUUUGUUUGAAUUUUUAUCUGAUACCCAAUAUUUUUGUGGUACUCAGGAGGGCUCUCUGAUGUUUCUUUCCUGGAAUCAUUUUCUCAUCAAGCUUUGAUUUUUGCUGGAAAGCAGAUCUGA